GAUGAACGCUGGCGGCGUGCCUAAUACAUGCAAGUCGAGCGAACAGAUAAGGAGCUUGCUCCUUUGACGUUAGCGGCGGACGGGUGAGUAACACGUGGAUAACCUACCUAUAAGACUGGGAUAACUUCGGGAAACCGGAGCUAAUACCGGAUAACAUAUUGAACCGCAUGGUUCAAUAGUGAAAGGCGGCUUUGCUGUCACUUAUAGAUGGAUCCGCGCCGUAUUAGCUAGUUGGUAAGGUAACGGCUUACCAAGGCAACGAUACGUAGCCGACCUGAGAGGGUGAUCGGCCACACUGGAACUGAGACACGGUCCAGACUCCUACGGGAGGCAGCAGUAGGGAAUCUUCCGCAAUGGGCGAAAGCCUGACGGAGCAACGCCGCGUGAGUGAUGAAGGUCUUCGGACCGUAAAACUCUGUUAUCAGGGAAGAACAAAUGUGUAAGUAACUGUGCACAUCUUGACGGUACCUGAUCAGAAAGCCACGGCUAACUACGUG
rnacentral:rRNA from 1 species